rnacentral:rRNA from 1 species
UACGGGGGGGGCAAGCGUUGUUCGGAAUUACUGGGCGUAAAGGGCUCGUAGGCUGCCAACUAAGUCAGACGUGAAAUCCCUCGGCUUAACCGGGGAACUGCGUCUGAUACUGGAUGGCUUGAAUCCGGGAGAGGGAUGCGGAAUUCCAGGUGUAGCGGUGAAAUGCGUAGAUAUCUGGAGGAACACCGGUGGCGAAGGCGGCAUCCUGGACCGGCAUUGACGCUGAGGAGCGAAAGCCAGGGGAGCAAACGGG